rnacentral:rRNA from 1 species
GGGGGGGGAUAAAACAUAAACACAGGGAACUCGCGAAGUCUUCUCGUGUCUCUAGUCUACCUGCGUGAGCGGAACGAAACUCAACACUGAGAUGUGGAUAUAGCAUAUAGUCGACAGAGAAUCUACGAAAACAACGAAACUUUCUUCUCGGAUCUCUUGGUUCACGCAUCGAUGAAGAGCGCAGCGAAAUGCGAUACCUAGUGUGUACUCGCCCCCAUCGUGAAUCAUCGAGUUCUUGAACGCACAUUGCGCCCCUCGGAAUCCGGGGGGCAUGCCUGUUUGAGCGUCCUUUCCAUCUUGCGCGUGCGCAGAGUUGGGGGAGGCGGAGCGGACCACUGUAAAGAGCGUCGAAGCUUCCCACUCGCCUUGAAGGGAACCAAUCCUGGCCCAAAAAAACAAAAUUUCUUUUUCAGGGCGGUUUGGGGGCCCAAAAGCAAGUGUUGGAGAAAAACAAAAACCCGCCCUCAGUCCGG